rnacentral:rRNA from 1 species
GUAGGGAAUAUUGGGCAAUGGUCGGAAGACUGACCCAGCCAUGCCGCGUGCAGGAAGACGGCCCUCUGGGUUGUAAACUGCUUUUAUCUGGGAAGAAAAAGGCCAUGCGUGGCAAAUAGCCGGUACCAGAUGAAUAAGCACCGGCUAACUCCGUGCCAGCAGCCGCGGUAAUACGGAGGGUGCGAGCGUUGUCCGGAUUUAUUGGGUUUAAAGGGUGCGUAGGCGGCUGAUUAAGUCAGCGGUGAAAGACUUCGGCUUAACCGGAGCAGUGCCGUUGAUACUGGUUGGCUUGAGUGUCGGAGGGGUACAUGGAAUUGAUGGUGUAGCGGUGAAAUGCAUAGAUACCAUCAGGAACACCGAUAGCGAAGGCAUUGUACUGGCCGACAACUGACGCUGAUGCACGAAAGUGUGGGGAUCGAACAGGAUUAGAUACCCCUGUAGUCC